rnacentral:tRNA from 1 species
GACCACGUAGCUCAGUUGGCAGAGCAUUGGGCUAGUAUUCCAAAGGUCGUAGGUUCUAUUCCCAUCGUGGAUCA